rnacentral:rRNA from 1 species
CAGCCGCCGCGGUAAUACAGAGGUGCGAGCGUUAAUCGGAUUUACUGGGCGUAAAGCGUGCGUAGGCGGCUUUUUAAGUCGGAUGUGAAAUCCCUGAGCUUAACUUAGGAAUUGCAUUCGAUACUGGGAAGCUAGAGUAUGGGAGAGGAUGGUAGAAUUCCAGGUGUAGCGGUGAAAUGCGUAGAGAUCUGGAGGAAUACCGAUGGCGAAGGCAGCCAUCUGGCCUAAUACUGACGCUGAGGUACGAAAGCAUGGGGAGCAAACAGGAUUAGAUACCCGUGUAGUCCCUGUCUCUUAUACC